CAGAGGGUGCGAGCGUUAAUCGGAUUUACUGGGCGUAAAGGGCGCGUAGGCGGUUCAAUGAGUGUGAUGUGAAAGCCCUGGGCUCAACCUAGGAAGUGCAUCGCAAACGAUUGAACUGGAGUAUAUGAGAGGGUGGUGGAAUUUCCGGUGUAGCAGUGAAAUGCGUAGAGAUCGGAAAGAACGUCGAUGGCGAAGGCAGCCACCUGGCAUAAUACUGACGCUGAGGCGCGAAAGCGUGGGGGAUCAAACAGGAUUAGAUACCCUGGUAGUCCACGCUGUAAACGAUGAUAACUAGAUGUUGGUAGGGGAACCUAUCGGUAUCGUAGCUAACGCGAUAAGUUAUCCGCCUGGGAAGUACGGCCGCAAGGUUG
rnacentral:rRNA from 1 species